GGGGGCAAGGGCUAGGACUAGCGGGCCUGCUUCGAGGGGCAGCUCUUCAGGGAUAUUCCGGGUCUGAACAGAGGAUCCCCUCGGCAGAGGGGAAAGGGGACACACAGCCCUGGAGGCCGGGCUCCGGGGUCGCUGCCUCACGAGGGGAGGGGCGAGAAGAUGUGUGACCUGAAGGACCGAAUCAGACAGGAGUCUGAAAACGAGUUUAUUGCACGUGUAGUCCUGAACAGGCAACAAGGAGCGGACCAAUACAGGUCCCACCUAGGACCUGUCCUGCUGAUGUCCACCCAUAAAGACUGACCUCACUCCCACAGACCUUACCUGGACACUGGCCCUCACUCACAGGCUUGCUGACCCCUCCCAAAGGCCAUCGUCAGAAAGUACAGAUUCCUCAUCCCUCUCAUUCAAGAAAACCAACCACAUCUGUAACUCCGGUUCUAGAGAGGUGGGGACAGGAGGACCACUGAAAGUUUGAGAUCAGUCUGGGCUACAAUGUGAGAUCUUGUCUCAAAAUCAGAAAGACCCCUGGCCUUGCCUGGUCCUUUAGAUCAUAGCAGAUACUGAGUACCUCCUAUCCAUGCAGGAGGAAAGAAGGUGCUACCAGCUAGAGAUACAGACCUAUCCCAGGAAGUCAGAGUGCCCCUGUGCCAGGCUCAGAGUUCCUCUUCCUCCCUCACCUUGAGGGCACCAAUACCUCUUUUGACUUGGUGAAGAAAGCACGUUUAACCUCUUCAGCGCUGGCACCAGGAUGCACUCCCAACAGUUCAUAGUAAUUAGUAGGGACAGACCUGUGGAGAAAAGCCCAAACCUGCAGAGGCUUAGGAGGUCAGAGAGCACCAUCGCCCUGUCUGCCACCCUCCCAGAGCCACACCUUCAAUUCAGCUACCAGGAACUGAAGUUAGUCCCAAGACACAUCUAGCCCCAGAUUGCCCUUUAGGUGUUUCAAGAAUGGUCAGGUUUUCUCAUUUUCAAAGUGUAGUCCUCUUCUACACCACAAACCCAAAAGGCUGCUUCUUCUUUCUUUUUUUUACAAAAUAGGGUCUUACUACCCAUCAGACCUGGAGCUCCCUAAGUAGACCAGACUAGCCUUAAACUCAGAGUUUGCCUUUACCUUCCAAGUUCUGGGACUGAAGGUGUGUGUGCACCACUAUCCUGGCUAAAAAGCUUCUUUAAAGAUCGUUUAAAAUUAUA